CAUAAAUGUAACUGUCUUACAUGUGAUUGUGAAUGUUUACGGUAGCCACGGAGAGACCAAGAGAAUAAAAACGAUAAAAUACUGCAGUGGUGCCAAACAGUUGAAAGAGUGGGUGGAAAAGACGGAGGAAGGCACAGAAGUUACAAAGUCCGUUUUCUUCCCUUUUGUCUUUUUUGGGUCAGACAUCUCUAGUUGGUGGGAGGAGGGGUUUGGGGGAUUUCUGGCACGUGCAAGCCUUUAAAAAGUCAUCAGUGUGGAAACUGUCGGAGAGGAGACCCCCAAAACAAGGCCAAGUAGGUUAACAGUGCCCACAUCACACACAGUAAUAGAGGGGCAAUUCAUACCAUGUCUAACUGGUUUGACAACAGUGCCAUUUUCAUGAAUGCCAAUAAACACAUUAACCACCACUGCAGCCCAGUAUUAGCCAGUAUGAGUAUGAGCAAAAAGCCCCAAUUUUACAAUGAACAUUGCAUCAAUCUGGAAUAACACAGGUACAUUUUAAAGUAAAGUCUUUACAACUGAAUUAUUGAAGAUACUUGUUCAUUCUUACUCUAAAAACCAACUUGGAGUUUUGCUGAUUGUUGGCAUUUUUUGGGUAAAUGUGUCUUUAUACAACAAUACACACUGCCAUGGCACAACCACACUUGACCCUUGACACGCGAGGCCAAAGCUACACCCAUCGCCAAGAUCCCAUUAAACCACUGCAGACAAUAGGGCUCUGUCAUAUCCAGCCAAGUGUGGAGUUGAGAUGCACAUGUGGGAUACCUGACACCUACAGCUGCCAGCCAACCUACCAAUCACAUCUCUCCUGCCUAUGAUACAGCUCAUGUUGUGUUUUUAAAGUGCAAGCUUCUGUGACAGGAGAUAAGAAGACACCUGUAUUAAACUAGUGUUUUUAUGGGUGACUCAAAUCUCUAUUUCGCAAACUGAUCAGGGCUUAAUACGUAAAUAUUAUGUAAUUAUACUUUUAAUACCAUUUAAAUGGUCAUUUUCAACAAAACAUACAGUUUUAGCCAAAGCUAUAAACAAUGUGAUUUCCUUAAAUGUACUUGCAAUAAUUUGUGAACUGCUUUGAAACUAUUUUUACUUUAUUAAGCGUUAUAUAACCUAAAUAAAAGUGAUUUGAUUAAAUAUAUUUGACUUCAAAUCAUAUUUUACUUCAAAAUGUAUUUACAUUUGCACCGGGCUGACACAAAUAGCAAUGACUUCAUUACAAUUUACCGCCUCUUUACAUUUUAAAUUUCAACGUAUCUAACGGACAUUAAAACAGCGCUGAGAUUCAACAGAGAAAAUCUGAGUCACGGGAGCCAUGACACCUUAUUAUCAUGCAUUCUUGAAUGUUGGUGGUUUUUCCUUUUGCAAAGAGGAACAACCAACCUUUAGGAAAUACACAAGCCUUUGUCUCAUCCCUGACAUGCUGAGGUGAUGAGAGAGAAUAUGGUUACAUUGCCACAUAACUAAAUCCUUAAGGUAAUUUUAAACACAUAAUACAAUACAGUCAUGAGGAUAUCCUAGAUGAUCCUAGUGUUUUUAGAGAGAUACCCCAGAAAAGCCGAAAGCCAUUUAAAACAAAAAAUCUCCCAAAAAAACUAGGCACAGCGGGUCUACGCCUAUAAAUUGUGAAACACUCCAGCUUUGUCAAGAAAUGAAAUAUCUCAAAUAUCCGCCAAACGUAGAGUCAUUUGAACCACGGAGACACCAAUAAGUUAAUUGAGUCCUGGCAGGCAAAGGAGUCAUUGAGCUCAGCCUAUUGAAAGAUACAUGGAAUAUACAAAUAGUGAUCAGUAACAGAGAGAAAAGAAUAGAAAAAUAUUUUGUCCGAAGUUAACCGCAGUCUGAGUAAAUGUAUCUUUACUUUGAUUAGUAUAUCCAUCUCUCCCCAGCUCCUGUCAAAACAGAAAGGAAUUCAGUGAUACCCCUCUAACAUGAUUUGGCCCUCACACCACAUGCUUAGGAUGUUGGGAGCAGGACAGAGGCCCUGUGCUGGCAAACUUGUAACUGUGAGGAGGGUAGCUUUAAAAACACAGAACUGUAAUGAACCAUUAAAUAACUUGCCUUCCCGGCUGCUUCCUCUCAUGAACAUGGCAUAAAUUACAGUAAAGACUGUUUUGUCAGGAGCAAAAAAUUCAGGAUCUUUGGAAGUGAUCCUUACAGAAUGUGCCUAUGUGUCAAUCAUAAGUUCUUCUGUAUUUUCUUGUCUCCAAUGAAAUAGCACCAAAUAGCAAACCUUAUUGAAACAGCUCAUUGCUACAUUGGUUUGCCUCAUUGGCAAACUACAAAAAAUCAAGUAGGUCUGCACACCACCUGCAAGACAAUGAAAUUUGUGAUCACAGGCCCCCAGAAUGAAUGAGAAUGUAGCCCUAUGCAGAAGUAAUGGAUUAAAUUACAUGAGCAAAUACAUUUGAAUACUUAAGAGCACUGAGUCACUUGUUUCUGUAAUCUGUUUGAAAAGAUAAUAAGUGUCCUGAAUUAACUCUUUGACUUGUUUAUUUACAGCCUUCAAACACUAAGGACUUGCAGAACCAUUAUAAUUGCUGGUCAGUGUUUCCAGAACUUUUGGAAGACUGCCGAGUAUUUUUGAUUCGUUAAAAACAACCAAAUAUCAGUUCUGCAAUCUGCACCCCCUGCUAUUCUCUGAAUCCAAACAAUAGAGAUAUCAGAGAGACAUUUGGCUGUACUGUUCCUCCUUGCUACACAUACAAAAAUCAGGUUAAAGCCUUCUUAGGGAUUAACAAAAAAGUGUAGACAGACAGGAUUUGGGACCACAGGAGACCGUCCUGAAUUAUGUGAUCUGCAGUAUAAAAAAUUAUGACAGUUUGCAAGGCAAAGACAGUUUUACA